GAGGACCUAUCUGUAGACUACACUCAGAAA
rnacentral:piRNA from 1 species